GGUGUUAUGAAAUUUUUUAAUUUUUUUUUAACGGGGAGGGGAAAGCUACCGGCUUUCAUAUCCAUUUUAAGUUUCUGGCUCAGUAGUGAGAAACAACUUUUAUGGCUCCAUUAAAUACUGCAAUAAAAGAGCUUAACGUUUCAGUAUACUUCCUAAAAACUGCUUAUUCCCACUUUUUAAGUCAUUUGCGAAUAAGAGAAAGUAAGUUCGAAGAAAAGCUCUUUUUCCUUGCUUGCGUUAGCACGUAAGGGGUAUUUCCGGGUGCUCGAUAGGGUCGAAAAAGGGGAACAACAAAUUUACGAGCUCUCAACAGGCAUGCUACAAACGUUAUAAGUAAAAUAACUUAAACUGCUUGAUCUGCAUUCUCCGAAGUGAGAGGGUUCGAAAGGGUUCUCUUCCUGCAAAGAUGCUGCUUUUAAACCAUGUCCAUGAAAUCAUGUGAGUAAGCCUUCAUUUGCUUUACGAGUAUUACAUUAUUGACAUAGGUAGCAUU